AUUCUGUGAGCAGGAAAGCAGGGGAUCGCAAGACCUUGCGCUGAUUGAGCGGCCGAUGUCAGAUUAGCUAGUUGGUGAGGUAAAGGCUCACCAAGGCGACGAUCUGUAGCGGGUCUGAGAGGAUGAUCCGCCACACUGGAACUGAGACACGGUCCAGACUCCUACGGGAGGCAGCAGUGGGGAAUUUUGGACAAUGGGGGCAACCCUGAUCCAGCCAUGCCGCGUGAGUGAAGAAGGCCUUCGGGUUGUAAAGCUCUUUCGGCCGGGAAGAAAUCGUAUGGGUUAAUACCCUGUGCGGAUGACGGUACCGGCAUAAGAAGCACCGGCUAACUACGUGCCAGCAGCCGCGGUAAUACGUAGGGUGCGAGCGUUAAUCGGAAUUACUGGGCGUAAAGCGUGCGCAGGCGGUUUUGUAAGACAGGCGUGAAAUCCCCGGGCUCAACCUGGGAACUGCGCUUGUGACUGCAAGGCUAGAGUACGGCAGAGGGGGGUGGAAUU
rnacentral:rRNA from 1 species